CUCUGGGGGAAAAAAUCAGCUGGGUUUGAAAUUGAAAAAGAGUCUGCAGAUGGCAGUUGCUGUCAAGGAGGGGGAGGGGGCCAUGCUGCUGGUGCUUCUGCGCGCGAUCUGCGCUUCAACCGACAAAGGCGCAACAAUCCAGUUGACACAACUUCCGAGGAUUGCCCAGCCCCUCCCUACAGAAAGGACCUAAUGAGGCAAACCUGCAUCCACUCUCCCUGAUUAAGCUGGUGAGCAGCUUAUCUACAC